GAUGAACGCUGGCGGCGUGCUUAACACAUGCAAGUCGAACGGAAAGGCCCAAGCUUGCCUGGGUACUCGAGUGGCGAACGGGUGAGUAACACGUGGGUGAUCUGCCCUGCACUUCGGGAUAAGCCUGGGAAACUGGGUCUAAUACCGGAUAGGACCACAUUUUGGAUGGUGUGGUGGAAAGUUUUUCGGUGUGGGAUGAGCUCGCGGCCUAUCAGCUUGUUGGUGGGGUAAUGGCCUACCAAGGCGUCGACGGGUAGCCGGCCUGAGAGGGUGUACGGCCACAUUGGGACUGAGAUACGGCCCAGACUCCUACGGGAGGCAGCAGUGGGGAAUAUUGCACAAUGGGCGCAAGCCUGAUGCAGCGACGCCGCGUGGGGGAUGACGGCCUUCGGGUUGUAAACUCCUUUCGCUAGGGACGAAGCGUUAUGUGACGGUACCUGGAGAAGAAGCACCGGCUAACUACGUG
rnacentral:rRNA from 1 species